AAGGAAUAGUAAAAUAUUUGAUGUCUUACAGAGAGAGGGAAAUGCUGGAAGCCCUUAGAAUAUGAUAUUUGAAGCAGCCUUUUAGUAGCAAUCUUGAACAAUUUAUCUUUUAUAAAGAAGAUUUAAGUAGAGAUUGACGGUAGUUACGUUAUAGCUAAGGUUUUCCGAAGAUAUCAUACUUUGUAUGAUAAUUAGGGUGGUACCGCGAUUGUCCUCGCCCCUAUAAAUUUAUUUAUAGGGACGAGGUUUUUUAU
rnacentral:ncRNA from 2 species